rnacentral:rRNA from 1 species
CCUACGGGCGGCAGCAGUGAGGAAUAUUGGUCAAUGGACGCAAGUCUGAACCAGCCAAGUAGCGUGAAGGAUGACUGCCCUAUGGGUUGUAAACUGCUUUUAUAUGGGAAUAAACUUUUCCACGUGUGGGCUUUUGUAUGUACCAUAUGAAUAAGGAUCGGCUAACCCCGUGCCAGCAGCCGCGGUAAUACGGAGGAUCCGAGCGUUAUACGGAUUUAUUGGGUUUAAAGGGAGCGUAGGUGGGUUGUUAAGUCAGAUGUGAAAGGUUGCGGCUCAACCGUGAAAUUGCAGUUGAAACUGGCAGUCUUGAGUACAGUAGAGGUGGGCGGAAUUCAUGGUGUAGCGGUGAAAUGCUUAGAUAUCAUGAAGAACUCCGAUUGCGAAGGCAGCUCACUGGACUGCAACUGACGCUGAGGCUCGAAAGUGUGGGUAUCAAACAGGAUUAGAUACCCCUGUAGUC